rnacentral:rRNA from 1 species
CCCUUAGAUGUUCUGGGCUGCACGCGCGCUACACUGAAGCGUUCAACGAGUAUUCACCUUGCCCGGGAGGGUUGGGUAAUCUUUUGAAAACGCUUCGUGAUGGGGAUAGAUUAUUGCAAUUUUCGAUCUUGAACGAGGAAUUCCUAGUAAGCGUGAUUCAUCAGAUCGCGUUGAUUACGUCCCUGCCCUUUGUACACACCGCCCGUCGCUACUACCGAUUGAAUGGUUUAGUGAGGCCUCGGGACUGGCGCGCUCGAGUAGCAAUACACCUGCGCGCCGGGAACUUGGUCAAACUUGAUCAUUUAGAGGAAGUAAAAGUCGUAACA